rnacentral:rRNA from 1 species
GACGAACGCUGGCGGCGCGCUUAACACAUGCAAGUCGAGCGAGAACCAGGCCUUCGGGCCUGGGGAAAGCGGCGAACGGGUGAGUAACACGUGGGUAACCCACCCUUGGUACCGGGAUAGCCUGGGGAAACCCGGAUUAAUACCGGAUGGCCCAACAGCUCUUCGGGGCGGUUGGAAAAGGUAGCUUCGGCCUCCGACCAAGGACGGGCCCGCGGCGGAUUAGCUUGUUGGCGGGGUAACGGCCCACCAAGGCAACGAUCCGUAGCNGGUCUGAGAGGACGAUCAGCCACACUGGGACUGAGACACGGCCCAGACUCCUACGGGAGGCAGCAGGUGGGGAAUCUUGCGCAAUGGGCGAAAGCCUGACGCAGCGACGCC